rnacentral:tRNA from 1 species
AAUAAAGUGGCUGAGGUAGAAGCGGCAGAUUGUAAAUCUGUAAACGAAUAUAAAUUCCUUUAUUA